UGAGGACUGGGAUUCGCGCGCAGCUUCCCGCGGUCUGCUUGCCCUGGAGCGGAGGGGGAGCCCCAGCCUCCUGCGGCUCCGAGAAGCUUCCCCCUGCGACUUCCGCGAGGAGACGAGUCUGCGCAGCGUGGUGGCCGCCGCCCCCCGACCCUCUGCGCACUCUCUCCCGCGCCGGCGGCUCAGCCUAGCCCCGUUCGGCCGGCCGAGGUUCCAUGUCCCCGUUACUCUCUCUUUGGAAAUCUGACGACCCUCCACCGUGGCCUCAGCAGCUUCUGUUCCCCUCCCCAGGAAGUUUUCUAGGGCCAGAUGCCACAGAGCCCCAGUGAUCUCUCCAAGGGGCCAAGAACUUUGGGUGAAGCAUUCUGGAACCCCCCUCGAGAUCUGGCUAGCCAUGAGAUCUGGUAGCCAUGACCUGGCUUGCCCUUUGACACCUCUCCUGCUGUUGUCCUUCAAAUCCAGAAACUGGGUUGAAAGAAGAGUAGUCCCAGCAUGGUGUGGUGGAAGGAGCACUGGACUGGAAGUGAGGGGACCUGGAUCCUAGUCCGAGCUUAACCACAGACUCCCAGUUUGCCCUUGGGCAAACUACUUCCCUUCUCUGAGCUUCAGGUUUCCCGUCUGUUAAAGGACUGCCUGAGGUGACCUGUAGGGUCACUUUCUGGCCCUAAUAAUCUGGAACAUUGACUCUCUAGUGAGUCUCUUGAGUGUGGGUGGGAUUGAAAAUUGUGAUUCUAACCCCAAAGAUUACCCUACCUUUCCCCUUCCUUAGAGCACCCACCACUAGUGAAGUCAUCCUGUUCCCUGAGUGAGGGAUGUUUAGAUGAUUUCCUUAAUAGGACCAGAGAUGUCAAGUAAUUUUCUUGAGGUCAUACUGCUGAAGUGCAAUCUUCAUUGGGGCAGGCAUUACUUCUAC
rnacentral:lncRNA from 1 species